AACUUUCAACAACGGAUCUCUUGGUUCUGGCAUCGAUGAAGAACGCAGCAAAAUGCGAUAAGUAAUGUGAAUUGCAGAAUUCAGUGAAUCAUCGAAUCUUUGAACGCACAUUGCGCCCGCCAGUAUUCUGGCGGGCAUGCCUGUUCGAGCGUCAUUUCAACCCUCAAGCACAGCUUGGUGUUGGGACUCGCGUUAAUUCGCGUUCCCCAAAUUGAUUGGCGGUCACGUCGAGCUUCCAUAGCGUAGUAGUAAAACCCUCGUUACUGGUAAUCGUCGCGGCCACGCCGUUAAACCCCAACUUCUGAAUGUUGACCUCGGAUCAGGUAGGAAUACCCGCUGAACUUAAGCAUAUCAAUA
rnacentral:rRNA from 1 species